GCUGAAUGAAUAUGUAGCGGACCUCUCGAGUCCCUUAGCAUCAAUCAUAUCAUAACACUGUGAACUGUACGGCGUCUGAACCCGAAGUGAUUAGCCGCGCCUGCCCAUCUCUGUUUCUACCAACAUAACGUAACUAACGUAGUUCUUAUCUAACUUC
rnacentral:misc_RNA from 1 species